UGGUGGUGUAGUGGUGUUGAAGUAGAGGUGUUGUUGUGUAGUAGAGGUGUAGUGGUGGUGGUGUAGAGGUGUAGUGGUGGUGUUGUAGAGGUGUAGUGGAUGUGUAGAGAUGUAGUGGAGGUGUAGUGGUGGUGUAGUGGUGGUGUAGCAGUGUAGUGGUAUAGUGGUGGUGUAGUUGAGAUGUAGUGGAGGUGUAGUGGUGGUGUAGUUGAGAUGUAGUGGAGGUGUAGUGGAGGUGUAGUGGUGGUGUAGUGGUGGUGUAGCGGUGUAGUGGUGUAGUGGUGGUGUAGUGGUGGUGUAGUGGUGUAGUGGUGGUGUUGGGGUGGUGUAAGGUUUGGUGGUGGUGUAGUGGUGGUGUAGAGGUUUAGUGUUGGUGUAGUAAAGGUGUAGUACAUGUGUUGCGGUGGUCUAGUGGUGGUGUAGUGUUGGUGUUGUGGUGGUGUAGAGGUGUAGUGGUGGUGUAGUAGAUGUGUAGUGUAUGUGUAGUGGUGUUGUAGUAGAGGUGUAGUGGAGGUGUAGUGGUGUAGUGGAGGUGUAGAGGUGUUUUGGUGGUGUGGAGUUUGUGUAGUGGUGUUGUGGUGGUGCAGUGGAGGUGUAUUGGGGUGUAGAGGUGUAGUAGAGGUGCAGUAGAGGUGUAGUGGUGGUGUUGUAGAGGUGUUGUGGUGGUGUAGUAGAGGUGUAGUGGUGGUGUUGUAGAGGUGUCGUGGUGGUGUAGUAGAGGUGUAGUGGUGGUGCAGUGGUGGUGUAGUGGUGCUGUAGUAGAGGUGUAGUAGAGGUGUAGUGGUGGUGUUGUAGAGGUGUAGUAGUGGUGUAGUAGAGGUGGGGGGGGCUGUAGUAGAGGUGUAGUUGUCUAGUGUAGUGGUGGUGUCGUUGUGAAGUUGUCUAAUAUAGUGGUGUUGUAGGUGUGUAGUGUAGUGGUGGUGCAGUUGUGCAGUUGCCUAUUGUAGUGGUGGUGUAGUUGUGUAGUUGUCUAUUUUUGU
ensembl:lncRNA